rnacentral:rRNA from 1 species
GGGUUGUGAGGUUAAGCGACUAAGCGUACACGGUGGAUGCCCUGGCAGUCAGAGGCGAUGAAGGACGUGCUAAUCUGCGAAAAGCGUCGGUAAGGUGAUAUGAACCGUUAUAACCGGCGAUGUCCGAAUGGGGAAACCCAGUGUGAUUCGUCACACUAUCGUUAACUGAAUACAUAGGUUAACGAGGCGAACCGGGGGAACUGAAACAUCUAAGUACCCCGAGGAAAAGAAAUCAACCGAGAUUCCCCCAGUAGCGGCGAGCGAACGGGGAGCAGCCCAGAGUCUGAAUCAGCUUGUGUGUUAGUGGAACGGUCUGGAAAGUCCGACGGUACAGGGUGAUAGUCCCGUACACCAAAAUGCACAGGUUGUGAACUCGAAGAGUAGGGCGGGACACGUGGUAUCCUGUCUGAAUAUGGGGGGACCAUCCUCCAAGGCUAAAUACUCCUGACUGACCGAUAGUGAACCAGUACCGUGAGGGAAAGGCGAAAAGAACCCCGGCGAGGGGAGUGAAAAAGAACCUGAAACCGUGUACGUACAAGCAGUGGGAGCACCUUCGGGUGUGACUGCGUACCUUUUGUAUAAUGGGUCAGCGACUUAUAUUCUGUAGCAAGGUUAACCGUAUAGGGGAGCCGCAGGGAAACCGAGUCUUAACUGGGCGUUAAGUUGCAGGGUAUAGACCCGAAACCCGGUGAUCUAGCCAUGGGCAGGUUGAAGGUUGGGUAACACUAACUGGAGGACCGAACCGACUAAUGUUGAAAAAUUAGCGGAUGACUUGUGGCUGGGGGUGAAAGGCCAAUCAAACCGGGAGAUAGCUGGUUCUCCCCGAAAGCUAUUUAGGUAGCGCCUCGUGAACUCAUCUUCGGGGGUAGAGCACUGUUUCGGCUAGGGGGUCAUCCCGACUUACCAACCCGAUGCAAACUACGAAUACCGAAGAAUGUUAUCACGGGAGACACACGGCGGGUGCUAACGUCCGUCGUGAAGAGGGAAACAACCCAGACCGCCAGCUAAGGUCCCAAAGUCAUGGUUAAGUGGGAAACGAUGUGGGAAGGCACAGACAGCCAGGAUGUUGGCUUAGAAGCAGCCAUCAUUUAAAGAAAGCGUAAUAGCUCACUGGUCGAGUCGGCCUGCGCGGAAGAUGUAACGGGGCUAAACCAUGCACCGAAGCUGCGGCAGCGACACUAUGUGUUGUUGGGUAGGGGAGCGUUCUGUAAGCCUGCGAAGGUGACCUGUGAGGGUUGCUGGAGGUAUCAGAAGUGCGAAUGCUGACAUAAGUAACGAUAAAGCGGGUGAAAAGCCCGCUCGCCGGAAGACCAAGGGUUCCUGUCCAACGUUAAUCGGGGCAGGGUGAGUCGACCCCUAAGGCGAGGCCGAAAGGCGUAGUCGAUGGGAAACAGGUUAAUAUUCCUGUACUUGGUGUUACUGCGAAGGGGGACGGAGAAGGCUAUGUUAGCCGGGCGACGGUUGUCCCGGUUUAAGCAUGUAGGCUGGUUGUCCAGGCAAAUCCGGAUAAUCAAGGCUGAGGUGUGAUGACGAGGCACUACGGUGCUGAAGUAACAAAUGCCCUGCUUCCAGGAAAAGCCUCUAAGCAUCAGGUAACAUCAAAUCGUACCCCAAACCGACACAGGUGGUCAGGUAGAGAAUACCAAGGCGCUUGAGAGAACUCGGGUGAAGGAACUAGGCAAAAUGGUGCCGUAACUUCGGGAGAAGGCACGCUGGUGUGUAGGUGAAGCCCCUGCGGGUGGAGCUGAGACCAGUCGAAGAUACCAGCUGGCUGCAACUGUUUAUUAAAAACACAGCACUGUGCAAACACGAAAGUGGACGUAUACGGUGUGACGCCUGCCCGGUGCCGGAAGGUUAAUUGAUGGGGUUAUCCGUAAGGAGAAGCUCUUGAUCGAAGCCCCGGUAAACGGCGGCCGUAACUAUAACGGUCCUAAGGUAGCGAAAUUCCUUGUCGGGUAAGUUCCGACCUGCACGAAUGGCGUAAUGAUGGCCAGGCUGUCUCCACCCGAGACUCAGUGAAAUUGAACUCGCUGUGAAGAUGCAGUGUACCCGCGGCAAGACGGAAAGACCCCGUGAACCUUUACUAUAGCUUGACACUGAACAUUGAGCCUUGAUGUGUAGGAUAGGUGGGAGGCUUUGAAGCGUGGACGCCAGUCUGCGUGGAGCCAACCUUGAAAUACCACCCUUUAAUGUUUGAUGUUCUAACGUUGGCCCCUGACCGGGGUUGCGGACAGUGUCUGGUGGGUAGUUUGACUGGGGCGGUCUCCUCCCAAAGCGUAACGGAGGAGCACGAAGGUUAGCUAAUCCUGGUCGGACAUCAGGAGGUUAGUGCAAUGGCAUAAGCUAGCUUGACUGCGAGCGUGACGGCGCGAGCAGGUGCGAAAGCAGGUCAUAGUGAUCCGGUGGUUCUGAAUGGAAGGGCCAUCGCUCAACGGAUAAAAGGUACUCCGGGGAUAACAGGCUGAUACCGCCCAAGAGUUCAUAUCGACGGCGGUGUUUGGCACCUCGAUGUCGGCUCAUCACAUCCUGGGGCUGAAGUAGGUCCCAAGGGUAUGGCUGUUCGCCAUUUAAAGUGGUACGCGAGCUGGGUUUAGAACGUCGUGAGACAGUUCGGUCCCUAUCUGCCGUGGGCGCUGGAGAAUUGAGGGGGGCUGCUCCUAGUACGAGAGGACCGGAGUGGACGCAUCACUGGUGUUCGGGUUGUCAUGCCAAUGGCACUGCCCGGUAGCUAAAUGCGGAAGAGAUAAGUGCUGAAAGCAUCUAAGCACGAAACUUGCCCCGAGAUGAGUUCUCCCUGAGACUAUAAGUCUCCUGAAGGAACGUUAAAGACGAUGACGUUGAUAGGCCGGGUGUGUAAGCGCAGCGAUGCGUUGAGCUAACCGGUACUAAUGAACCGUGAGGCUUAACCUUACAACGCCGAAG